UUGAAUUUUCUAGGCUCUAGGUUUCUUUGCAAUUUAAACCUAAAAUUACAGAGCCCAAACGCUUCACAUACCAACUACUUCUUCCCGCACCGUUUCUUUUCAUCAAAUAAACCUUCUUUUCUCUCUCUUCCGCAUAAGUUAUCUCUCUUUCAAAAAACUAUCAAUUACUCUGUGAUCUUUCAACUCCAUUUUUGCUACUAAAUUUCCCUUAGACCUCUAACUUUGUUAGUUAAUUUCUAAAACCUCAACUACAUCUACCUUCUUUGUACUAUUUCUUAUUUGGGGUAAACGAAAAAAACGUUUGCUCACACUGCUAUUCUCUCUGUUCUUCCCUCACCAUAUGCUAAUUUCGACGCCAAUGAAGACUUCCGAAGAAUACCAUCCUCCGCCCACAGUUCCAGGAAAAAUUGGUAUUCACUCCAUAAUUGCCGGUGUGGACAAACAAGGAUGCCAAAAACUGUCAAAAGAUUGAGGAUUUCAAAUGCUAUUGGGAUCAAGAGAAAUGGUCAAUGUCUCUUGGAGCACUAUACUGGGAAUCUUGAUUCGCGUGAUUCGAGUAAGGAAAUUAAACGGUACCAAUUCUGGAAAAUCAUUCUUCUGAGAGUUUACUUUUCUUUGAUUGAAGCAGCGGGGUUACAGGUGAUCCUUUUAAUGUUACUGUUGUGACGAAGAUGCUGCCUUAACGCCUCAAAUGGCGUUGGUACUAGAAACACACACACACAUAUAUAUAUAGACCUAUGCGUUUGUACAGAUAUAGUACUAUAGCUUCUGAUUAUAACUGUAUCUUCCUCAAAGUUUGUUUCUAGGAUUAACUUUCGAAGUAUUGUAACUGUUUGCUGCCAAAAUAUUGACCAUUGAAGCUUUCUUUGUCGGUGGGAGUCUCCAAUUUGAGUUUAUUGUCCUAUAUGUAGUGCUGUGCCAUUUAUUCUAAGGCCACUAAGGAAUAGUUUCAAGGAUGGCAAUAAAAUACUCAUGGAGGGCCUCAAACUGAUCACAGUGUUGACAGUUUGAAGUGAAUUGUUUAGUUUCUGAUUAGAUCGAAAGAGCUGUAAAGUUCUAUAUUUUACUAUCCGGAGUAACAGAAAUACCAUAAAGAGUACUUUCCAUAACCUCCAAUUCUUUACUGUAGAAGUUGACGUUUUUGGCAAAGAUUUGUGGAGCAUGAGCCAUUUCAAGGACCUAGAGUCCAAAGUAAUGUCAAGAAAAGGUGUAGAUUUUUUCAAGUUCCUGGCACAAGAGAUGAUUGUUCCAACAAAAAGCAGGGAGGACAUGUCAUCUCCAUACUGAAGUUAGUUGGGGAAACUUAUUAAGAAGACAAUGCAUGUUUUCUGGGAGUUUCUUCUUACUAAUAAAGCCUGAAGCCAAUUUAGCCUUAUAUGGUGCUCAUGGAACUCAAAUGGACACUGCAGAAUUAUAGCUUUUUAUGGAUGUCAGAUCAAAUCUUCAAAAGGUUUAUCGUCUGCAUUCACAGAUGCCAACAUAUAUUCAGUACUUCAUGCAAGUAGCGUUUCACAUACCGAUUGCGGUUAUAGCUGUUAUCAUGCCUUUUAUUUAUGUUGUUCAAUUAGAGAUGUCAACCCUGAAAGUUUACUCCAUUAAUGCAGCUGAUGUAGUCGAUGUUGAAGUGAGGGAUUUGCAUACUGAGAGGCAAACAAAAUGGUUACGACCCAUAUUGAUUUCCCACGCAUGGUUGCUGAUCAAGAGACAGAAACUUCUGAUGGUGAAGAGUUCAUGACACUUCUCAUUGGUGGGCUGUUCUCUGUUCUUGGUGUACGUGACAAAGCUUUUAUUCGCAGAGUCUAUAUGGUGAACAGUUGCUUUACAUAAUAUGCCGAUGAUGUUUCAAUCCAACUAUGAGGUGGAAAAAAAUAAAUUGCUUUACAUAAAACUCCCAAUUGUUCAUUAAAUGUCCUCUAACCGCUGCUUUAGUCACUGUUCUUUGGGUUCAAUAUUUAUUUUAUUGUUGUUUUUGUGUUUGGAGUUGAUAUUAAUUGGUUCCAUUAAGAUGCACGCUAUGAGAGUGCGCUCUUAUGUUCGUUGAUCACUCAUUUGACGACUUUUGAUUA